GAAUAUUAGUCAAUGCUCGAAAGAGUGAACUAGCUAACUGAAAUCAAUUAAAAAUAAUAAUUGAUAACAUAAGGGAAAAUAAUGAUAUUACCUUAUUAAUAGUGUCGUCCAAAACUGGUGCCAGAAGACUCGGUAAGGCCAGAGACAUAAACGUUAAUCGUCUUAAUCAGGCGUAAAGGGUUUGUAGGCGGCUUUAAAAUAAAGAAUAAAAGCUAGAAUCAAAUAGAGGAUAUAUGAAAGAAUGCUUAGAGUAGGUCCGAUAUCCUUAGAUACUAAGUAGAAUAUUAAAGGCGAAAGCUUUUUUCCAUUAAUGAUUGACGCUCAGAAACGAAGGUGAGGAUAGGAAAUAGGAUUAGAUACCCAGAAUACCCCUCUCUGUCAACGAUGAAUGGUAGUUAUUAGUAUAAAUUUAUUAAUGGCAAUGUUAACACGAUAACCAUUCCGCCUUGUGAGUACAACUGCAAAGUUGAAAACAAAAAAAUUAGUCGGUUUCGGAGCAAACGAAGUGAAGCAUGUUAUUUAAUUC
rnacentral:rRNA from 1 species